CUAGGGUCAUUUAGAGGAAGUAAAAGUCGUAACAAGGGUUUCCGUAGGUGAACCUGCGGAAGGAUCAUUAAUGGGUUCAUGGCCUCCGGGCCGCAAUCCCCACCCUUCGCAACCGCGGCCACGAUUCGGCGCAAGGGCGAGGCCCCCUCUGUUCGCGGAGGGUCCCCGUCCGCCGGAAUCACGCAACCCUGCCUGAAAAAUGUAGUCUGAGAAACAUGAAAAAUUAGCGAAAACUUUCAACAACGGAUCUCUUGGUUCUGGCAACGAUGAAGAACGCAGCGAAAUGCGAUAAGUAAUGUGAAUUGCAGAAUUCAGUGAAUCAUCGAAUCUUUGAACGCACAUUGCGCCCCCUGGUAUUCCGGGGGGCACACCUGUUCGAGCGCCAUUUCAACCCUCGAGCCCUGCUCGGUGAUGGGCGACGCUUUAAUUUACUAGGCGCGCCCGAAACUCGUUGGCGCCGUCGUCCGGCCCUGAGCGUAGCAAGAGAAAUCCCUCGCUCGGUGGACCGUCCGGCGGCCGCCCCGACCAUUUUCACAAGGUUGGCCUCGGAUCAGGUGGGAAUACCCGCUGAACUUAAGCAUAUCAAUAAGCGGAGGA
rnacentral:rRNA from 1 species